AUUGAACGCUGGCGGCAGGCCUAACACAUGCAAGUCGAACGAGUGGCGGACGGGUGAGUAAUGUAUGGGGAUCUGCCCGAUAGAGGGGGAUAACUACUGGAAACGGUAGCUAAUACCGCAUACUAUCGGAUGAACCCAUAUGGGAUUAGCUAGUAGGUGAGGUAAUGGCUCACCUAGGCGACGAUCCCUAGCUGGUCUGAGAGGAUGAUCAGCCACACUGGGACUGAGACACGGCCCAGACUCCUACGGGAGGCAGCAGUGGGGAAUAUUGCACAAUGGGCGCAAGCCUGAUGCAGCCAUGCCGCGUGUAUGAAGAAGGCCUUCGGGUUGUAAAGUACUUUCAGCGGGGAGGCGUUACCCGCAGAAGAAGCACCGGCUAACUCCGUGCCAGCAGCCGCGGUAAUAC
rnacentral:rRNA from 1 species